AAACAAUUAAGUCUCAGGUACAUUUCAUGUGAUUACAUGAUUUAUAAGGGCUUUAAUGAAGAAUUCUGAUGUUGCAUACGUGCAUUAAAGGUUGUAAUUCUUUAUAAUAUUUAUGAUUAAUUUUUAGGAAAUUUAACAGAUAUUAAAAUGGUCAAACAAGUUCAGUGAAAGAUGCAUUGAUAGAUAAAUGUAGACAUAUGGGUGCCCGGUUCAUAUUUUAACAUGUAUAUUUAUCUAUAUUUUAUUUGUUAUUCAUCAGAAAUGGUGGAAAUUGAAUUUUAUUUAUGUAUAUUACAAGCUCUCUUUCUAAUAAGCUAGCUAGUACACACUUUGUGUCAUUAUAUUGAUUCAUUCCAACUAAAACAAUCUCAAUGAUAUAGAAAUCCAAUGUUAUUUAUGAUCUCUUUCUUUUACAUUCCUAAUUUAAAUGUAUGCAUAAACAUUUAUAUAUGCAUUUUCUUCAUUAAUGUACACUGCACAAGAAUUUUUUCUGAAUCAAUAUAGAUCUGAUAUUACUGUAUCAAAAAUGUAAAUCUUCAAAAGCAAUUUUAUAAGUUUGUACAUUUUUAAGGAGUAAAUCUCAAGGAAAUGACCAUAUCAUGUGUACAUGUACAGAAUGCCAAAAUAAUUGUCAAAUUGUUCAUGUAUUUGAUCUACUGCAACUGGGGGAAGAAUCCAGUAGUUUUCCAUCUAGAUAUAUGGUACAAACAUCAGUAGGUUGUGCAAUAGAUCAUUGUAUAUGGGUUAUGGUCAGUAAAGUGUUGUGCAAUUUUCAGCUACAAGUUGUUUUGGCAAAAGAUCACGUAGGUAAGACUGGGUUGUCUCUUGCCAGAAGGACUCCAAAGAGCACAGUGGCUGUAUUUUGUUGUCAAGUUAGACCAUUGUCACAGGUUUCAUUUCAUAUGUAUCAAUACAACAAAUCUCUGCAUUAUUUUUAUGUGAAAUUUGCAAACUUCAGAAUUUCAAUUUUUAUAUAAGGACCUUUUUUUUUAUACAUUUGUGGACAUCAUACAGAGAAAAAUUGUAUAAGGAUAUUUCUUUAAGGUUAAUAAUGGACAAGUCAGAUUUCUUUCUCUACAAGUACUGCAUGUUCUGUACUACAUGUGAAAUAAAACUUCUGAAC
rnacentral:misc_RNA from 1 species